UACGUAUGGUGCAAGCGUUAUCCGGAUUUACUGGGUGUAAAGGGAGCGCAGGCGGCACGGCAAGCCUGAUGUGAAAGCCCGCGGCCCAACCGCGGGACUGCAUUGAGAACUACCGGGCUGGAGUGCCGGAGAGGUAGGCGGAAUUCCUAGUGUAGCGGUGAAAUGCGUAGAUAUUAGGAGGAACACCAGUGGCGAAGGCGGCCUACUGGACGGUGACUGACGCUGAGGCUCGAAAGCGUGGGGAGCAAACAGG
rnacentral:rRNA from 1 species